rfam:Nicotiana sylvestris Nsyl_contig53294, whole genome shotgun sequence.
UUUGCGGCGGUCUCUAAUUCGCUUGGUGCAGGUCGGGAACUGACUCGCCGGUGACGCUGUCCGCGCCGGAAUCGGCGCCUUUCAUUGAUAUUUUGUUUAUAUGUAUCGAUAUUUAGAGAGCUCUCAUUAGGACUUAUUUGUUAGUAAAAUUUUGUUGUUGAAAUUAACUUGAUAUAUGUAUAGAUAAGUAGAGUGUUUACCCCUGGUUGGUUAAGUAAUAGAUAUGUAGAGAGUGUUUACCCACGGUUGGUUAAGUAAUGGAUAUGUAGAGAGUUCAAUUUUUUUAAUAGAUUAGUUAUGAAUGAAAGUGCGCCUCGUCGAUGGCUAAGUUUGUUCCCGCCUUGCAUCAACUGAAUUGGUGACCGCGGUGAAU